UCAUUAGCAUUCCCAGGCUUGUAGAUGCAUCACUAUUCUUAUAAGGAUACCAGUCAUUGAAAUACUGAAUCCAGUAUGACCUUCUCUUAACUUGAUUACAUCUGCAAAGACCCUAUUUCCAAAUCAGGUCACGUUCACAGGUACCAUGUGUUAGCUCUUAAACAUAUCUUUUUGAAGGAACACAGUUCAACCCAAAAAAGUCUGCUCUCUAGCACUCUAAAAUUCAUGUCCUUCCUAUGCAAAAUACAUUCACCAAGUCCCAACAUACCCCUCAGAUCUUAAUUUAUUUCAGCUUUAACUGUAAGUCCAAAAUUUCAUCCAAAUAUAAUAACUCAAAAAACCCCACUCCCAACUUCUGAAUCAUCUAAAUCAGAAAUCAGUGAGACUCCAGGUAUAGGCUGUUCUGGGGCAUAAUUAUUCUCUGUCUACAGAUCUGUAGAACUUGAAAACAAAGUGUUCACAAAUUACAAUGAUAGGGGACAUAUGGCUAGAGGUAAGGCCACAUUUGGUGGGGAGUGAGGGAGGGUGGGCCCCACAAGAUCCUCAUAGAUUGAUUGCAUUGAACGUUUGAUGGUUGAUGGUUUAUCAGCGAUCUCUCACUGCUGUUGACAUUUUCAUAUUUGGCUGUUCCAAACUUUGAAACUAAACCAUCUCAUGUUUUAUGAAAUGGACAUUCCACACACCCAAGUAGCUGUAACUGAUACUGCUAAAUGUAUUAUAAAAAUUGCUAUUUUAAGGAUGUGUCAUGCUUCUCUUAAUUGUAAGUAAUGUUCAGACAGAGGUACUGGGACAAGUGUCCAGCCAGGCUCUUCCAGCCCAGCCAUGUAAUAUCAGUAAAGCCUUACAAGAUGGGGGAUGGAUUAACAUCCUGAUAAAGAGCUAUUUGCCGGGCUGUACGGUAUGCUCUCCCACUGGGUCAAUCAGUCCUAAUAAGCCUUUUGAGCUACAAAUGUCAGUGACCAACCACUAUGCACACUAGAGCACCAGUCAGGCAUCAGUCAAACUUUCCACCCACAUGAAGGUGGACAUUUACCUCUGCAUAUGUGCUUUCUCAGAGUUUGGAGUCUGCCAGUACCUUAUGCUUCUUGAGGGUGUUGGAAUAUUGAAGUCUCUGAGGAGGCCUGGACUUCGAUGAUGAACAGAUCAGCUAAGUUGAAGGCUGGUAGUGCACUGAGCCACUAUGGCUAUGUAUCCACAGAGAAAACUGUUACAAACCUUAUAUGCUAAAGAAAACUCCACCAGUGGUUCGAGUUGUAGGCUGUGGUGCUUGUCCAGUAAAACACUGCCCCAAAAUACAUCUUGCUACAUUUUCACUGACUCAUAAGCAAUAGCCAACAGGAUGGCAGGAUGGUACUUUAGUGCCCGGUAGCAGGAUCAAGUCCUAAGCCCCUGUGGGGUCACACAUUGUGAUAACAGAAUGUGUAGGAUCCCUUACUCCCAUGGACUCCAGAGGCAAAGGACCCUUUGACAAUGGACAUCACUGAAACCAACUGGUGUUAUUUUAGGCUGAUCAGACCUGAGCCAUCCAGAUAAGACCAUAAACCUCUGGAUAUACCAUGACACAGGAUGUGCAUCAGUAUUCCAGCACUGAGACCGAAGUCAAAGCUUAGUGAUUCAGCCUCUGAGGCCAGGAAAACCUGACAAAUCUGCUUAAAGUGCCAAUUCCACAGUUGAAUGGUGUACUAGUAUCCUAGAGCUCCUUAAGAAAGCACCACAGCUUUUUGGCUUAAAAUAACAGGCAUGUGUUCUCUCACAGUUCUGCAGGCUAGAGGUCUGAACCAGUGUUCAUCUGCCCCAUAUAUAGCAAGCCAGUAAAGAUUGACACAGAUUGACACUGAGCUUCUGCAGUGAAGAAAGAUGGUGUGGUGCCUCCCAAGAGAAUGGGGAGCUAAUGCUCAAAGUCUCUUACAGCCUAGGUUCCAGCUCCCUUGGAAGAAAGCAGCUUUUAUGAAGUAGGAAGGAGGAAGCUCCAGGAACAGGAAUCUCACCUUGAAGGUUACUCCUCUGACCUCGACUUCUCAACCACAGCUUUAGAGCAGAGGCAGGAAACUGCUGGAAAGGAGCAGGUCCUAGGUUUGCGUAGUCUGCAGUAGCAGUUCUUUAUUCUGCUCAGAAUGAGCAUUGCCUCACUAUCACCACAUCCAGAGGGCCUCACCAUGAUGGUGAAAGGUCUGGACCAAGCUUCAGAAAAGAUAGCUGUACAUUCAGCCUUCUCUGUACAUUCCCAGAAAGAACAGAAAAAGAAUAAAUGCCAGAGAAAGAGAGAGCGCACAAGCAGG